rnacentral:rRNA from 1 species
UACGGGGGGAGCAAACGUUGCUCGGAAUUACUGGGCGUAAAGGGCGCGUAGGCGGUCUUCUAAGUCUUGUGUGAAAUCCCUCGGCUCAACUGAGGAACUGCACGGGAUACUGGAAGACUUGAGUUCGGGAGAGGGAAGCGGAAUUCCGGGUGUAGCGGUGAAAUGCGUAGAUAUCCGGAGGAACACCGGUGGCGAAGGCGGCUUCCUGGACCGAUUACUGACGCUGAGGCGCGAAAGCUAGGGGAGCAAACGGG